UUAGACUAAGGAGGUCAAGAGCCUUACUGAAUCUUGGAAAACUUCGAAUGCUUGUCAUUUAAUUUUGCAGUCAGACUUUGGGUGCUAAGGUCCACAGUCGAAAGGGAAACAGCCCAGAUCAUUAGCUAAGGUCCCCAAACAACAUCUGAGUGAGAAAGAAAGUGAAAAAGUUUUGGCAGUCAGAAGGUGGGCUCGGAAGCAGCCAUCCUUUAAAAAAUGCGUAACAGCAUACUGACCGAGAACGAAACGUUCAAGUUUUUUUGCGUCGAAAAUUCAGAAGGACUGAAGAUGUUUGCCGAAACUAUGAACUUUUAAAAGAGUGGUAGCAAAGCGUUUUUAAAGUCGUUGAAAGCAAUUUGUGAAAAUUGCUGGAGAUAAAAAAGUGAGAAUGCUAAUAUGAGUAACGAAAAACAAUGCAAAAAACAUUGUGGCCGUAAAUUUGAGGUUUUCUGCGUAAAGUUCAUCUGCGCAGGGUCAGUCGGUCUCUAAGAGUUGGCAACGAACGUGCAGCUCGACGAGGUUUUUUGAUAAAAACAAAAUGCAAGAAGACAAGUUUAAUUCGACUGACAAUGAGGUGUGGAUCUCUUGGCAGUCGCGGAAACUUCAAGAAAAUUCUUGCGUUGGGCAGUACCGUACCUAACCGACAAAGGAAAAUAGAUUUGAAGAUCAAGGCUUUUGAGCCAACUGUUUUUAAGGAACUCGGCAAAAUUAUUCUGUAACUUCGGGAGAAAGAAUGCCUUUUCAGUUAAAGGUGGCACAAAAAGGGGAUAGCGACUGUUUACUAAAAACACAAGACUUUGCCAAAUUGUAAAAUGAUGUAUAAGGUUUGAUGCUUGCCCAAUGCUGUAAUGUCAAGUGGAGGUGUAACGCACUGAAAUUAAGCUUCAGUGAAUGGCAGUCGUAACUCUAACGAUUCAAAGGUAGCGAAAUUCCUAGCCAAUUAAUUGUUGGCCCGCAUGAAUAGCACAACGACUUUCCUACUGUCUCGAGAACAACCUCAGUGAAAUUGGAGUCUGCGUGAAGAUGCGCAGUCGCAAAAGUAAGACGGAAAGACCCUGUAAACCUUUACUAUAGUUUUGCACUGUCAUGAUUUAUUUUUUGUGUAGCCUAGGUGGGAGCUGUUAUGAAGUCUCAACGCAAGUUGACCGCUGAAGUGCUCGUGAAAUACCACUCUGAGAACAUUAUCUGACUAAUUUUCGUAAAAAAGAACCUGCAAGAUGUUUAGUUUAACUGGGGCGGUAGUCUUCAAAAAAGUAACGAAGAUCUACAAAGGUGAGUUCAAAUUCAGUAGAAACGAAUUUUAGGGUGUAAUGGCGCAAACUCGCUUGACUGGGAGAGAUACAACUCGACCAGGGACGUCACGUCGGUCAUAGUGAUCCGAAAAUGUUCCAUGGAAAAGUUUUCGCUCAAGGAAUAAAAGGUACUUCAGGGAUAACAGGCUAAUGACUCUCAAGAGCUCCUAUCGACAGAGUCUUU
rnacentral:rRNA from 1 species